rnacentral:rRNA from 1 species
UACGGAGGAUCCAAGCGUUAUCCGGAUUUAUUGGGUUUAAAGGGUGCGUAGGCGGCCUAUUAAGUCAGGGGUGAAAGACGGUGGCUCAACCAUCGCAGUGCCUUUGAUACUGAUGGGCUUGAAUGCAGCUGAGGUAGGCGGAAUGUGACAAGUAGCGGUGAAAUGCAUAGAUAUGUCACAGAACACCGAUUGCGAAGGCAGCUUACUAAAGUGCAAUUGACGCUGAGGCACGAAAGCGUGGGGAGCAAACAGG